GAUGAACGCUGGCGGCGUGCCUAAUACAUGCAAGUCGAGCGAACAGACGAGGAGCUUGCUCCUCUGACGUUAGCGGCGGACGGGUGAGUAACACGUGGAUAACCUACCUAUAAGACUGGGAUAACUUCGGGAAACCGGAGCUAAUACCGGAUAAUAUAUUGAACCGCAUGGUUCAAUAGUGAAAGACGGUUUUGCUGUCACUUAUAGAUGGAUCCGCGCCGCAUUAGCUAGUUGGUAAGGUAACGGCUUACCAAGGCGACGAUGCGUAUCCGACCUGAGAGGAUGAUCGGCCACACUAGAACUGAGACACGAUCCAGACUCCUACGGGAGGCAGCAGUAGGGAAUCUUCCGCAAUGAGCGAAAGCCUGACGGAGCAACGCCGCGUGAGUGAUGAAGGUCUUCGGAUCGUAAAACUCUGUUAUUAGGGAAGAACAAAUGUGUAAGUAACUAUGCACGUCUUGACGGUACCUAAUCAGAAAGCCACGGCUAACUACGUG
rnacentral:rRNA from 1 species